GAAACUCGUUCUAUUGGAAGCGUGUGCUAGUGAUUGCACAGCUGAACAUCGAUCGCUAAACGUACAGAAAACUUUGGCAGAUCUGCUCAGUAGGUGUUAUCACGUUGUCGUAAGCUUCAAGUAGCUUCUGUAAAAUAGACUCCCGAUUGCGCCUGCAUCUUCGUGGCUCGUUUACGACCUCGGAUUUGCACGCCUGCACGGUUGAGUCCUGACGUCGCUCCUCGAAGUACCGCGAUUUCCAAAUUGGGGGGUAAUCGAAUAGAAGAAAUUUGUGUGAAGAGAAGAUUCCAAUUCCAAACUUCGUCAGAUUCCUUCACCAAAUUUUCAUUGUACAGUUUGUCUGCGAGAAGAGAAAGACUGACGCCAUCUAAUGAUUUCAUCUCCCCAGCCAGUUUUCCUAGAACGAGGUGGAACUACAGGUCUUUGCAUAGGCAAAGACUUUCCAGAUGACAAGGAAAUUGGACUUUCGAGAAGAUCAUCAUCGGAUUUAUUUUCUUCCUGCAAAUUAUUCUGACCUGCACGUCUACCUAAGCGAGAGAGAGAACCACGCAUUAAAUGGGAAAGAGUUCCUAUUCUAAGCCACUUCGAAUCAGACUUCAGAAUGCAUUGACUGAUUUGACAAGCAUAUGUGACAGCUGUAUGUCACAUGUUUGGAAACAGUAACCAUGACAACUUUGCAUGUAAGGUUAGGUAAGAAAUUCUAUCAGCAUACGUCAUGAAAACUAAUAUGGCGGAAAACUGAGAUGUGCUCUACUGGGACACACGAAAGAACGGGAAUACCUGACAUCACGUGCUGUACAUGAAUGCGUACCUAGUAAAAUCGCCCUUACAUAGCCGCCAAGGUAGCAGAUCGACCUUGUCAUGCAACACAAACGACACAUCUGGAUUGACAAUGUAUGGUGUGCCAGCGCCGGAGCCGCGUGUCAACAGUUUUCUGUUCUCGUCGUAACAACAGUGUUGUCCGCCCAUGGUCUUGGUUCCCGGAGAUGCUAAAGAUCGCACGCAAUAAGAGGCGCCAUUCUUGUAGACGGACCGUUGGGGAGCGUUAGUCGCAUCGCGCCAUCGGAAUUUCUUUCGCCGAUUCUUAUCCCAGAUCAUAUCGUUGUAAAAGAUAUCGUUGGGAUAUUGGCAUGGACACGCCGGUAGUUCGUCGAUAGAUCCUAUGGGAUAUAUCAAAGAGAGUUGCCUCUCGUCGGAGUGCGUGAUCGUUCUUUUCUAGCUGUUCGAAGGAUCUCCACGACAAAUCUUCAAAUUUUGACCGAUGACUAUUCUUGUCCCUGAAAAACUUUAGUUUUGGAUACCCUUUAACAUCGCUCAGAGAUAUUAGCACCAGCAACACUAGCAACCAGAAUGGCACGCUUUUCUUCAUCACCGCCGAUAUGAAUAUUCACGUAUGAAAAAAAGAAAGAAAGAAAAAGAUGAGUCGCGUAAUAGAGUCGGAAUAGACUUCACCGAACCGAAUGAAAAGCUAAGUGGCAUAUGGGAGAUCUUGGCUGCGUGCUCACCUUUAUGCUACGCCGGGAGUUACCUCCCCCGCGACUUCUUCGUCUCUCCCCUCUUCCCUCGCAGC
rnacentral:misc_RNA from 1 species